rnacentral:lncRNA from 1 species
GCAGAUAGAAUUAAGGUAGCUGACUCAGCUGGCCUUAAAGUGGGGCCAUCCUCCUGGAGAAUCCACGUGGGCCUAAUGUAAUCACGAGGGUCUUUAUAAGUGAAAGAGGGAGGUGGGAAAGUUGGAGUCAGAGUCAGAGAAGGAGAUGUGAUGACGGAAACAGAGAUUGGAGUGAUGUGAUUGCUGCUUUAGAGAUGGAAGGGGGCCACAAGCCAAGGAAUGCAGGCAGCCUCUUGUAACUGGAGAAGUCAGGGACAUGGAUUCUCUCCUGGAGUUUCUGGAAGAAAACAGCCCUGCUGACACCUUGGUUUUAGCCCUGUGAGACCCAUUUGGAACUUCUGACCUCCAAAACUAAGGCUCGCUGGAACGGAGACCACCCCCAGAGAAGUUUUAGAGACUAAAUGUUGAAGAUGGCAGAGCUGAAAGUGCUUGACCCGCCCAUUCCCUUGCCCCUGAAUCUUUGCUUGGAGUAGAGACACUUCAUGAUAGGAAGCACUCGUUUUGGAAUUUACGUGACUGAGAAACGUAUAUUGUGUCAAGGUGCUGAUAUUGAAGGGUUGUUUGUUACAGCCGUUAGCCUACGCUGACAGAUACAGCCUCUGCAGACUGAGGAUAUGGCAGGGAAGACUCUCCAGCACAAAUGGACUUUUGGUUUUAAACUUCUGACAUAAAUUUUCAAAACCCUGGAGACAGGGGCCGGCUCCGUGGCCGAGUGGUUAAGUUCGCGCGCUCUGCUGCGGUGGCCCAGGGUUCAGAUCCUGGGCGCGGACAUGGCACCGCUCAUCAGGCCACAUUGAGGCGGCGUCCCACAUCCCCCAGCUAGAAGGACAUGCAACUGUGUAUGGGGGGGUUUGGGGAGAUAAAGCAGAAAAAAAAAAAAAAGAUUGGCAACAGUUGUUAGCCCAGGUGCCAAUCUUUGGGGAAAAACAAAACAAAACAAAACAAAAAACCCUGGAGACAAUUUGCCUGGCCUCUUAUGAAGGUUUAUAAAGCAAGAUGCAGUAGCUGCAGAGGCCACAGCUGAGCAACUCUCAACCAUUUUCAACAGCUUAGAAGUAGAGAGAGAAGUGAAAUGCAGAGACUUCAUGUUCAAGCCUAAUAUAUUUCAUUAAACAAAGAUGAGACUUUAAUUACAUUAAGCCUUCCUUGAAAAGAAAUUAAAUUAUAGAAAGAACCUACUUUCUCGCAAUAGCAUAAUAAACUGUAGAAAGACCAUAUAAAGAGACAAACAAAAGAUUUUUAAUCAGACGAAAAGCAGCACCUUAAUGUUUAAUUUUGCUUUACAAGUGGAGAGGUAUAUAUAUAGUUUUGUUAAGCUUUCUUUUUUUUAAAAUUUCUUUUUAAAGAUUGGCACCUGAGCUAAUAUCUGUUGCCAAUCUUCUUCU